UACGUAGGGUGCAGGCGUUAAUCGGAAUUACUGGGCGUAAAGCGUGCGCAGGCGGUUUCUUAAGUCGGAUGUGAAAGCCCCGGGCUCAACCCGGGAAGUGCACUCGAUACUGCCAAGCUAGAGUAUCGGAGAGGUUGGUGGAAUUCUCGGUGUAGAGGUGAAAUUCGUAGAUAUCGAGAGGAACACCGGUGGCGAAGGCGGCCAACUGGACGAAUACUGACGCUGAGACUCGAAAGCGUGGGGAGCAAACAGG
rnacentral:rRNA from 1 species